CCUACGGGUGGCAGCAGUAGGGAAUAUUGCUCAAUGGGGGAAACCCUGAAGCAGCAACGCCGCGUGGAGGAUGAAGGUUUUCGGAUUGUUAACUCCUUUUGUUAGAGAAGAAAAUGAUGGUAUGUAACGUAUAUGCACCGGCUCACUUCGUGCCAGCAGCCGCGGUAAUACGGAGGGUGCAGGCGUUACUCGGAAUUACUGGGCGUAAAGGGCGCGUAGGGGGGAUAGAAAGUCAGAUGUGAAAUCCUAUGGCUUAACCAUAGAACUGCUUUUGAAACUGUGAUUCUAGAGUAUGGUAGAGGUAGGUGGAAUGCUUGGUGUAGGGGUAAAAUCCUUAGAGAUCAAGAGGAAUACUCAUUGCGAAGGCGACCUGCUAGAACAUGACUGACGCUGAUGCGCGAAAGCGUGGGGAGCAAACAGGAUUAGAUACCCUAGUAGUC
rnacentral:rRNA from 1 species